rnacentral:rRNA from 1 species
GACGAACGCUGGCGGCGUGCCUAAUACAUGCAAGUCGAGCGGACGAAUCGAAAGCUUGCUUUUGACUCGUUAGCGGCGGACGGGUGAGUAACACGUGGGACACCUGCUCUGUAGACGGGGAUAACACCGAGAAAUCGGCGCUAACACCGGAUAACACGAAAUGUCGCAUGACGUUUCGUUGAAAGACGGCGCAAGCUGCCGCUACAGGAUGGGCCCGCGGUGCAUUAGGUAGUUGGUGGGGUCACGGCUCACCAAGGCAACGAUACGUAGCCGACGUGAGAGGGGGAUCGGCCACACUGGGACUGGGACACGGCCAAGACUCCUACGGGAGGCAGCAGUAGGGAAUCUUCCGCAGUGGACGAAAGUCUGACGGAGCAACGCCGCGUGAGCGAAGAAGGCCUUCGGGUCGUAAAGCUCUGUUGUUAGGGAAGAACAAGUAACGCAGUAACUGGCGUUACCGUGACGGUACCUAACGAGAAAGCCACGGCUAACUACGUG